AACUUGGCAGGGCUGAUUAGGAAGACCCAGUUCCUGACCACCGAUGCUUUGCUACGCUAGGCUGGAAAAUGCCUCCCUCUGCCCUUGAGAAGGGGGUCUGAAUGUUUUGCGGGACUGACACCGCAGCAACAUGCCGGUGUGUUUCACGCUGCUGCCUCCUGUUUCCCUUGAAGCUUUCACCAGACCCUGGAUUUCUUUUUCACUUCCUGUUCUGAGCCAUCGCCGGGCACUCAUUACCCACCAGCUGUGUCCCAGCUGCCGCAUUCUACACUAGAGGUGGCGCCCUGCACCCGGCGGAAAUGAAGAGAAUCAGACUACCCACCUUGGAUUCUGAUAUGAAAGAUUUAGGAUAAAAGAGCUACUCCAUCAGCCUGGAAAGAUGACUCACUGGCAAACUCUUAGAUAAAGCUAAACUUCACACCAAACUGCAAGAGAGUCUAAGAAUGAAGAGAAAACUGCUUUGGCAAGCAACUACCUAGUCUCUGACACAGUCCACCUUUUUGGUCAGCCAAUAUCCAGCUCCGCCUUGUCUUCUUACACAAAGCCCAGGCAAAGCCCAGGAUUGCUAACUGUUGUACAAACCUGUUGGUCAGGCCUAGAUGGAAGCUUUCAACCCCAUUUCAAGUCAGCUGGCUUAUCCAACCCUGAAAGGUCUGUGAUCUCUCAGUUCUUUUUAUAAACAGGCCUCUGCUUGCAAAUGGCCAAUUCUUGCCUGAGCUCAUCUCUUUCUUGUAAUACUUUAUGAAAGGCAGCCAGUAGUAACUAAUGCAUAAAUUUUUCCAACCAACUGGCCCAAAGGUCAGUAGACCUUUUUACCAAAUGUUUCGCAAUGUAUAGCAUGAAUCUCCAUCUUUCUCCUCUCUGUUAUCAGGUUCCUCAGUGCCCAACCAUUAUGUCAAUGCCUUUUACCUUAAUUUUUUUCUUAUGGCAACAUUUUCUUCUGGAAUUAUUUCUGUACUGUAGCAAAUGCCCUAAACUGUGUAAAACAGUUUGAAGACACUAUUUUUUUUUCUAUUUUUAUCAUUUGUUCCUCGGUCUACUCAAUACGCUCCCUGCUUAAAACUCCCCUAGUGAUUUUCUGUUGGGUUUAAAAUAGAGUCUAAACUCUUUACCAUGGAUUACAAGCUUCUCUGUUAACUGGUUGUAACCUGCAUUUCCAGCCUCCUUUGGCGCCACUCUUGUCCCACCAACUAUAUCACAUUUCCUUUGGAACAUUUUCUGCUUCUUGAACUUGCCCAGGUCCUUGCUGUUAGCUGGUCCCUUUGCCUAUGAUGAUCUUCCUUCUUAGCAUCACUUGAACUGCAAAAAAUAAAAAAUGAAACAAAAAA
rnacentral:lncRNA from 1 species